rnacentral:lncRNA from 1 species
AUGCCAGUUCACAAGCUGUGCUUGCCACUUCCUCCCUGCAGCAGCCAUCGUUUCUCUCCUGCUUUUCUGGGUCAGCCAGUUGGCCAAAAAGUGGUGGAAGAGAGAGUCAACAGCCAUAUUUGCUGGAGCGGUGAACCAAAUUGCCUUGACUGGAACCAUUACUCACUUGCACCUUUGACAGCAGCAGCCAGGAAAUUUGAAGCUAGUCAUGCCUAUUAGAUGCCUAGAAGAUGCAGAUAGCUGUGUCACCAUGGAAGAGAUGAAGAGAACUUUGCUCUAGUAGAUCACAAGUAUCUCUGGGUCAUUCUGCAUCUCAGUAUUUAAUAACAAUGGAAAAAGUCCAAAUGCUAUAACAAGUCUUUGCAAAUGUAUAAUAAACUGUUUAGGAAAGUUCCUGCCAUGAACAGAACUGUAUAAUACUCACAUU